GUGACCCCACCACAGAUGACAUCUUUGAAGAGGGCUUUGAAAGCCCCAGCAAAAGUGAAGAGCAGGAAGCUCCUGAUGGGUCUCAGGCCUCAUCCAGCAGUGAUCCAUUUGGUGAGCCCAGUGGUGGGACCCCAGUGGUGAUAAUAUAAGUCCAGAGGUCGGUAGCUAGAUAGCGCAGGUUGGGGUAGGUAUCUGGCCUUUAUUUCUCUUUUGCCCUUUGCCUGCCUGCUGCUCCUCUUCCCACU
rnacentral:lncRNA from 1 species